rnacentral:rRNA from 1 species
AGCAGCCGCGGUAAUUCCAGCUCCAAUAGCGUAUAUUAAAGUUGUUGCAGUUAAAAAGCUCGUAGUUGAAUUUCGGGAUCAGUACGUCGGUCGUGCCUUCGGUAUGCACUGGUGUCACUGGUUCCUCCCUUCUGACGAACCGUCAUGCCAUUAAUUUGGUGUGGCGGGAAAUCAGGACUGUUACUUUGAAAAAAUUAGAGUGUUUAAAGCAGGCUCACGCUUGAAUACAUUAGCAUGGAAUAAUGAAAUAGGACGUUGAUCUUAUUUUGUUGGUUUCUAGGAUUGACGUAAUGAUUAAUAGGGAUAGUUGGGGGCAUUAGUAUUCAAUUGUCAGAGGUGAAAUUCUUGGAUUUAUUGAAGACUAACUACUGCGAAAGCAUUUGCCAAGGAUGUUUUCAUUAAUCAAGAACGAAAGUUAGGGGAUCGAAGACGAUCAGAUACCGUCGUAGUCUUAACCAUAAACUAUGCCGACUAGGGAUCGGAUGAUGUUAAAUUUUUUAAUGUACUCAUUCGGCGUACCCG